GAAUUUUAUAAUGAAGCUGUGCAGUAACAUCAGCUCAGGAAUGUACAGCAACGGCGCUUCUUACUGCAGUUUGUCUCACCCAUUGUUUAUGAAGUGAAGCAAUGAAUUUAAGAGGAACACGAGGAGCAACUUUUUUUUACACAAAGAUCAUUACACACUCUUUCCAAGCAGACUCUUUGGGACUAGAAUGACUUGCUUCCAUUCCCCCCCUGUGCUUCGGCAGUGUCUGAAGAGUCCUUUGCAAAAACUGCAGAUUGACAGAGCAGUCUCAUAAAUGAGGAGCAUUCAGGAUGUUACCGAGGACCUCAAGGCCAUGCAUCUGGAGCACACAGAAACCCUGCACCAGCAGCAGACUCUCUCAAAAACUACCCAUCCACCCACUGCAUCUAAUGAACAAUCUACAAUGCCCUUAUCAGCCACCUCAGAACCCACAACACCAGACUGGAAGCAGGUCACCUUUGAUCCCAUGGGACUGGCUAAGAACCAAAGCUCAACACCAAACAUCACAAGAAAACAGCGGAAAAAAGAACUUUCGGCUUCAAAAAUAUCUUUUACAACCUCAGAAAAGCCCACUUCUGCCAUUGAAAUGAUAACUGUUUUCAUGAGUAGUCACUGCUGCAAUUCAGAAGGUAAAGUAUCAAAUUGUUUUGCAGCAAAAUCCUUCAAACAGCAAUGAAAUAAAUGACCAGAUCAUUUCCUACAUUAAGUGUUAGUUCUGCAAUAUAUAUUGGCCAGGACAAUUUUGUUCUUCAGAAACUAAUAAACCACUGUUAACUGUACCUCUCAUUACAAAAAAACAAAAACAAUCAGAGGUCCUUUUUAUAGAUUAACAGAGUCCAAAGCCAGGAUUUACUCUAGGAUCUUUCUGGUGAGU